UGCAGUCGAACGGCAGCACGGGCUUCGGCCUGGUGGCGAGUGGCGAACGGGUGAGUAAUACAUCGGAACGUACCCAGAAGUGGGGGAUAACGUAGCGAAAGUUACGCUAAUACCGCAUACGUUCUACGGAAGAAAGUGGGGGAUCGCAAGACCUCAUGCUUUUGGAGCGGCCGAUGUCUGAUUAGCUAGUUGGUGAGGUAAAGGCUCACCAAGGCGACGAUCAGUAGCUGGUCUGAGAGGACGACCAGCCACACUGGAACUGAGACACGGUCCAGACUCCUACGGGAGGCAGCAGUGGGGAAUUUUGGACAAUGGGCGCAAGCCUGAUCCAGCAAUGCCGCGUGAGUGAAGAAGGCCUUCGGGUUGUAAAGCUCUUUUGUCAGGGAAGAAACGGUCNNNGCUAAUAUCNNNNGCUAAUGACGGUACCUGAAGAAUAAGCACCGGCUAACUACGUGCCAGCAGCCGCGGUAAUACGUAGGGUGCAAGCGUUAAUCGGAAUUACUGGGCGUAAAGCGUGCGCAGGCGGUUUUGUAAGUCUGACGUGAAAUCCCCGGGCUCAACCUGGGAAUUGCGUUGGAGACUGCAAGGCUGGAGUCUGGCAGAG
rnacentral:rRNA from 1 species